rnacentral:rRNA from 1 species
GUAGGGUCCAAGCGUUAAUCGGAAUUACUGGGCGUAAAGCGUGCGCAGGCGGUUGUGCAAGACCGAUGUGAGAUCCCCGGGCUUAACCUGGGAAUUGCAUUGGUGACUGCACGGCUAGAGUGUGUCAGAGGGGGUAGAAUUCCACGUGUAGCAGUGAAAUGCGUAGAGAUGUGGAGGAAUACCGAUGGCGAAGGCAGCCCCCUGGGAUAACACUGACGCUCAUGCACGAAAGCGUGGGGGGAGCAAACAGGAUUAGAUACCCUGGUAGUCCACGCCCCUAAACGAUGUCAACUAGUUGUUGGGGAUUCAUUUCCUUAGUAACGUAGCUAACGCGUGAAGUUGACCGCCUGGGAGUACGGUCGCAAGAUUA